GAAAUGCGAUAAGUAGUGUGAAUUGCAGAAUUCAGUGAAUCAUCGAAUCUUUGAACGCACAUUGCGCCCUUUGGUAUUCCUUAGGGCAUGCCUGUUCGAGCGUCAUCUAAACCUUCAAGCCCUGCUUGGUGUUGGGUGCCUGUCCCGCCUCCGCGCGCGGACUCACCUCAAAUCCAUUGGCGGCCCCCGCGUCGGCCACGAGCGCAGCAGAAACGCGAACUCGUGAGCCCGCCCGGGCGGCUCCCAGAAGCUACACCCACCCAGUUUGACCUCGGAUCAGGUAGGGAUACCCGCUGAACUUAAGC
rnacentral:misc_RNA from 1 species